UACGAAGGGGGCUAGCGUUGUUCGGAAUUACUGGGCGUAAAGGGCGCGUAGGCGGCUCUGAUCGUCGGAUGUGAAAGGCCUGGGCUCAACCUGGGAAUGGCAUCCGAUACGGCGGGGCUGGAGUGUGGGAGAGGUUGGUGGAAUUCCCAGUGUAGAGGUGAAAUUCGUAGAUAUUCGGAAGAACACCAGUGGCGAAGGCGACUAACUGGACAUGUAUUGACGCUGAGGUGCGAAAGCGUGGGGAGCAAACAGG
rnacentral:rRNA from 1 species